AUAGUAGGGUUAUAUCAGACUAUGUACGAGAUAAAUAGUAAUAUAAUAUGAGAUCAUUGAUUUGUAUACUAGCUGAUCCCACAUCGUAGAACUAGGAUUUACAUAUCAAUACGCACUAGGUAUAUAUUUUUAAUGAAGAUGAUUUAAUAUAGGGUAGUUAGCAAUACAUGAUAGUCCGAGAUCAUUUGUUUGCAGACACUAGGUAUAUUGUUUUGUUUGCAGACACUAGGUAAAUUUUUCUAUUUUCCUUUUCUUAUGCUGUAACUUCGUGUGCUAGUUUUACAAUUUCAUGCUUACAUAGGGAUUUUUUUUUUGUAAAUGCGCUAAAGUACUUUUGUUUUUGCAGAAUUUGUCAUGAUGUAGCUGACCAUGGAAAGUAUUAUUCUGAUGAUGGGGACAUUGAAGGAGACAGUGUAUAUAGCGAUAGUGAUGGUUUGGAAUAUAGAACAAGAGACACUAUCUUAGAUGAUGCAUUAUUUGGGUUCUUCAGGAAACAAGCUGUUAAAUCAUUGAAGAGAAAUUUCUCAGAUUUUUGCAUGGAUGGUUCAACAAACAUGAAGACUGUAAUAUCCUUUUUAUGUCAAGAACAUCUGCUAAAUACUCUAUUCCCAGGUCUUAUUGUAGGUAAGUUAACAAAACGAAAAUGUAGGUAAGUGACUUAACGAAACGAAAAUGUAGAAAAAGGAUGUGCAUCUUGUCUGUGUGUUUCAAGUAUGUGCUUCUUUGACGAAUUUUUUUCAGUAUUUU